AUUGAACGCUAGCGGCAUGCCUUACACAUGCAAGUCGAACGGCAGCACGGGGGGCAACCCUGGNGGCGAGUGGCGAACGGGUGAGUAAUGCAUCGGAACGUGCCCAUCGAUGGGGGAUAACUGCGCGAAAGCGUUGCUAAUACCGCAUACGACCUACGGGUGAAAGCAGGGGACCGCAAGGCCUUGCGUCGAUGGAGCGGCCGAUGCCGGAUUAGCUAGUUGGUGAGGUAAAGGCUCACCAAGGCGACGAUCCGUAGCUGGUCUGAGAGGACGACCCAGCCACACUGGGACUGAGACACGGCCCAGACUCCUACGGGAGGCAGCAGUGGGGAAUCUUGGACAAUGGGCGAAAGCCUGAUCCAGCAAUGCCGCGUGUGGGAAGAAGGCCUUCGGGUUGUAAACCACUUUUGGCGGGAAAGAAAUGGUCUGUGCUAAUACCACGGAUUGAUGACGGUACCCGCAGAAUAAGCACCGGCUAACUACGUG
rnacentral:rRNA from 1 species